AUUUUUCUACUUAACUUUUAAUAAAUGAGAAGAAACACAGUAGUCUUGUCUCAUAUAGAACAUUUAUAAUACAGAACAAUCCAUAAAGCCUCAUGGUGAGGUAGGAACAGCUUUGGAAACAACACACAGUCAUAGAACGCACAGAAGUUAGGGAAAAGGCUGCCACACUCGGGUUCGAGAUGAGCCGUAGCAACUGCGCCGUUGGCCCAGAGGACGGACGGACAGGCAGCAGCAGACAAGACCAACACGAGAGCGUCUCAGAGAAUCAGACACACUAAUAAUACCCCAUUGUGCUGUUUCAAGGCAGACCCAUAUCAUGGCCAUUUGUGUCUUUUAUAUAACCACGUAUUAAUUCUGUUACAUUCUCUUCAGCAUCCUUUUUUUUUUUUUUUUUUUUUUUUUGCCUGACACUGAACUUUAAUAUAUUUUUGGUUUAAAAGUUUAAAUUGAUUAAUAUACAAAAGGCUCUUGUGCCAGUGAAAAUGACUGCUAAAUAUUCCAGAGCUUGUUAGUAAAACAAGAGGAUCACCAUAUACAUACACAUAUGUAUAUAUGUAUCAAAAUAGUAUCAGUACAGUUCCAUUCUCCAGACCGUGAAGCACUAGGGCAGUUUUGAUUACAAACACAAUAACAAAAGCCUUCCACUUUCCCAAGACCUCUUAACACUGUUUACCACUUAACUGAAACGCAGUACUAAAAUAAAUAUUUUCUAUUGUAGAACCACUCUCCAAAUUUUUGUAGGACUACCUUAAAACAGCAGGCUAAUGACUUUUUUCUUGUUCAAAUGGUAUCUGCUUGUAAAACAGUAAAAACAUUCAAAACCAGUUUACCCAACAAAUACCUCACAUUAGGUUUCCUUUUCCCUCAAAAUUCUCAAAAUGACAGAUGCUGACAAGACACACACAUAUAAACAACCUCCCGAGACUCUCCAAAGUAAACUUGACGGAAACCCUUCCUGCUCAAGGGUUAUACAUCUUAGGAUAAAGCUACCCAGCAUUUUGUUUUGGGUGUGAAAAUGCCAUAAAAUGUCCAAGGAUUGUUUUUGUGUUCAAGCCUAUACAUCUACAAUGUAGAUACCCCCCAGAAAAGAAUUACUCCUACAAGUUAAAAGAUGACCAUGGGAAAUCACGCCCAUUGUUCCCAGGCUGCACAUGGCUUGGAAGGGCCCCUGUUUGAGUGGACUGUGGGAACAUGCAGCCCUUCCUCACUCAGCUCCAGAGGAGCCAGGUCCACAGUGAGCUGGCUCAAGUAAUACGGAACCAGGGAGCCUCCCACAGCCCUGAUGCAGUGAGAGGAAGCACUUUUAAACAAUGGCGGAGUCCCAAAGAGGCCAAGGUAGCUCCUCAUUUUCUUUCAGGAAAUAAGCUAUUUUGGAAAAGACACUCAAAUCCCACAACAUUUAAAUAUAAAAAGUCUUUUCUUCUUAAAGAUAAUGCUAAUAUAGCUAAAAAAUGGGUUAGAAAGUGCAUUGUAAAGAAAUAAAUAAUUCUCUAAAACCUCAAGGUAAGUUGGCGCCCACGGAGUUUGCUAUGACAAAACACCUUUGAGAAAAAAAAAAAAAGCCUACGGUACCACUUUUUUACAUAGAAGCCACUUAACCCAGGCCACCACCACCUUAAAGCACUUCUGAAAGUCAGACUGACACAGCCCUCAUCCCCGUGACAUAAACCUGCCCAGAGCAUUCUGAAGGACACCUCCUGGAUGCCACAGGCUUUCCACUGCCUUCCUGUACCACUGUGGAAACACUAAAACCUUCUGCACAGAGCUAUCUGAGACAUCUGGAGCUCCCCUCACACCACUCCCAGAUCUCUCAAUUUCAUGUUUUUUUAAAAAAGCAAACUUGCUAAAGUCAAAGUAACCACCUGCCAAGGGGUUAGACCACACAUUAGUGAAGCAUUAUGUAGGCUGGAUGGUUGGCCCAGUGUAGUAUGUGUGAACUUACAAACUAUGUUCCAAAAAUUACAUUUCUUAUCAGAAAAUCC
rnacentral:lncRNA from 1 species